rnacentral:tRNA from 1 species
GACCCGCCUGCCGUGGGUAGGUCAUCGCUCGCGCCGAUGGGAACCGGAGCCGGCGCGCUGGCUCGGCAUCAACGCGGGCCUCC